rnacentral:rRNA from 1 species
GGGGAGUUGGCGGGUGCUAUACAUGCAGUCGAGCGGACAGAAGGGAGCUUGCUCCCGGAUGUUAGCGGCGGACGGGUGAGUAACACGUGGGUAACCUGCCUGUAAGACUGGGAUAACUCCGGGAAACCGGAGCUAAUACCGGAUAGUUCCUUGAACCGCAUGGUUCAAGGAUGAAAGACGGUUUCGGCUGUCACUUACAGAUGGACCCGCGGCGCAAUAGCUAGUUGGUGGGGUAAUGGCUCACCAAGGCGACGAUGCGUAGCCAACCUGAGAGGGUGAUCGGCCACACUGGGACUGAGACACGGCCCAGACUCCUACGGGAGGCACCAUUAGGGAAUCUUCCGCAAUGGACGAAAGUCUGACGGAGCAACGCCCCGUGAGUGAUGAAGGUUUUCGGAUCGUAAAGCUCUUUUGUUAGGGAAGAACAAGUGCGAGAGUAACUGCUCGCACCUUGACGGUACCUAACCAGAAUGCCCCUGCUAACUACGUGCCAGCCGCCUCUGUAAUACUUAUGUGGCAAGCGUUGUCCGGAAUUAUUUGUCGUACAGGGCUCGCAGCAGUCUCUUAAGUCUCAUGUGAAGGCGCCCGCGCUCACCCUGUGAUGGUCAUUGGAAACUGGGACACUUGAGUGCAGAGGAGG